rnacentral:rRNA from 1 species
UGCAACCUGAACUCAGGCGUGAUUACCCGC